rnacentral:misc_RNA from 1 species
UAUCUAUCCAGACUGGCUAGUGGCUUUUGUAUCCACCUCUUUCCAACACAUGCCAAGAUUGUUUGUUAAUUCAUUAUUCUAGAAAAUCAAUGGAAGUUCUAGUCAGUGCAAGAAAAAGGUUGAUCCAAAAGCCACUAGCCAGUCUGGAUAGAUAUGUGAUUUACAAGGAGCACAACAUAUCAAGAUGAAAGGAGUAACGUGUUCAAGUGCUGCCUCAGAAGUAUCAAAGCAAACUACCAUAUCUGAAUAUGAAGUGAGGUCGGUGAACUUGUGCAGUCAGAGAAGUAAUGUCGAUAUUGACGAUAGGACCAAUCCAGGUGGAACUCUGCUAAAAGGAAGAGCUGCCAUUGGUAGUUUCAAACUUCUGCUCUGGUUGUUCCAGUUUCUUAGUGCAGAUUGUAUUAUAGUCAUGCUUUAAAUGAGGAGCAACUAUCAUUUCCUUAAACUCUUCAAAUGGACAGAAAUCAGAAUUAUUGCAACCUGGCAUUGUAAUGGGACGUUCAUUGUGGAGUACUUGGAUGAAGUACUUGCUUGAAGGAUUUGCUGGACAACUGUGAAGGACCAGUAAGUUGUUGCCGGCAAAAGGUGCUACCAUGCUGCCCCACCAAUUUCUACUGUGGGGAGGCCUUGGAGGAAGUUCCAAAGGUUGUUCUCUCUGUAUAUUUUCAAAUUCUGAUCGUUCAAGGAAAAGACCAAGUAGACAUGUGAAAGGAACCAGCGUCUCUGCAUGUGCAAACCGUAGUCUUGCCUUUUCGUAACUUCCAGGAGCAAGUUGUUCUUCUUGUGCCUUAAUAGCUUGCUCCAUGGACUGAACAACAUCUUUAA